rnacentral:lncRNA from 1 species
GGAGGAAUUUGACUCGAUUACGUUAUUUUCGACGAGUACAUUGACUACAAUCUCAUCAUUUUCAAUAUUUUGGUAGUAUUUUGAUUUAUUGAUACCAAAAUUAAAGUAUUCAACUCCACAGGAAUCUAACAUCAUGGACUCUAGCAUUUCCUUCAAUGCAGAAAACGUCGGUCUGUUGACGGGAAACUGUUCCCAACAUAACAUCAUUAUUUGGUAUCUAAAAACAAGAAAACA